CCUCUUCGCAGCACGGAUUACAAAACGAGGUGGUUUAGGAACCGAAGAACACCGUAGCAGUCCUCGAGCACCUGCUGAGGUCUCUAUUCCACCUUGCUCUAACCGAAAGAACUGUGGAUUGCCCCCAGGAAAUUACAAGUUGGUCAGCUGAGCUGCGUGGCUUUUCUGGAGAUCACCGUGCAAAUUAAUUUCACAGUGUGCUCUGUGUACGAAGAAACACAGCUAUUGCCAGGUUGGCUGAGCCCUCGGGAACCCUCGAGCUCGGGGCACUAGCUCCAACACUGACUGUAUCCUGUGCUCAAAAGGGAAAGAUGCAGCAGUGGAGAGCUGCGUGGUGUUCCAUAACUUGAAGAAACUACUGUUUAACAAAAAUCACUGCUGCUUACAUCAUCUGAAAGGCAACUACUCUUAAAAUUUGCCUCAGCUGAAAUUCAAUGUUCAGGACCACAAAAUAACACUGAAAGAAAGGGAGAAUUAGGUGCCUAACCUGCAAGAGGUGUUCUCACAGCCUUCUCCCCUCCACCACCAGCUUCAAUAUUUGUCUAUGUGAGACCUUCAUCAGCAUCUCUACAGUGUGGACUAAUCUUCUCCCCCAGUUUCCAUGGGAGAAGGAUUUUCACAUGGAAAACUAAUCAAGGAUUCAAAGUUAUUCAUCUGCCUUCCAAGUGGCAGUUCUUAAGGGCAAAUCAUGACUCCAGUGAGCUGAUUUUCCUUGCAUGCAAGCAGGGACAGACAUCCCCACAGUCCUGUCAAGUCGGAAAUGGCAGUAAGUCAUGGAAGAAUCUGCCUCCCAGUACUUUUCAAUUACCUCAGUGAUCAGCAAAGGGUAGCCUUUUAACCAGCCUGAGGAAGAUUCAUAGCCAAUCUUGUCAAACUCCAUUAGCCUCACCACGUAACAGCAAGAGUUUGUGGGAGCCUCAGAGGCUGGCCUCAGUAAAGCAGUCUACAUCUGUUUUCAAUUUAAAUCACUUUAGCAGCAAGGGAGACUGCUACUGUGACCAUCCAGGAUAUCAGAGUCCUUUGUACACAGAGGCUGGGUGGCGUGAGGAUUAGCAGCACCAGCUUUCUCCCAUAAACAGGCUGCACACUCAUCCAUGAGCAGAAGGUUACCAAUCUCUGCAUGGCCCACUCCAGUCCACACCUGUUUACAAAGGCUGGAGGACAACCUCCCAGGCAUAUCUAAGUAGAAAAAUCAAGCCAUGCUAGGAAGCUUGGCAAGACCAUCAAUUUGUUUCAUUAAACUGCUAGCGAAAUGGAAGUAAUUUCAGCUGUAUGCACUUUGGGCUAGGUUUGAACUUACGAGAUGGGGCAAAAGCCUUGAAGACUGUAACUGUUUCUCUUCAUGCUGUCUUAUACCAUCAGCCUUUUACUGUGUUUUACUAUUUCACAGGCUAUCACUUCAUUUGCAAGGAUACGCUUCACACCCCUGACCUGCAUUUUAUGAUGGAAAGGGAUGCAUGCCUGCCAGUAUGAAGUAAAACAGAAGAGAGAAGUCGCUCUGCUGUUGCAAAAUUAGUUUUGUUUAAUUUUACAAGGUCCUUGGUUCAAGUGUAGACAAAACGUUAUCUCCCUCACAACCUUGAAGAAUAUGGAUUGUCAUUUUUAAAACCACAGUGCUAUACUCUAGACAUGCAAACAAGCAGACAUUAUUUUGAUCCUUAAAAUCCCAGACCUUUAAGAUGUCUGAACCUGAUCUAUUUCCGGGUGCACAGGCAGGAUGAGUGUGGAAUAACUUCUCUGAAACUGAUAAAGUUGAAGCAGAUGUACAGCGGGCUAACAGAGACCAAAGGUUGUGUAGGUUGCUAAGGUUGUAUAUCAGUAGUACUUAGUACUAUUUAUCUAGUGUGAUAGCUGUGGAACACAUGGUGAUUAUAGAAAAAUUUGGCACAGAAAAAAUGGCCUUUAAUUACUAACCUUGCAGGAUCAACAAACUUGUAGAGAGAUCCAUGUGGUGCAUAGGCACUUGGAUAAGAAGUAGACAUAAAAUACAGCUCACCUAAAGAGAGGUGAAAAAAGUAAGAAAACCUUCAGAUGCAAAGGCCCAAGGUGAAUCCCUGUUCUCCAUUCCCCUCUGUUCCCUGGCUUUUCCACUAAUUCACAUGGUCAGAAAAGAAUACCCCUUCAGUCAGCGUCUUACUUGCCAAGAGUGGGCUUUGGUCUCACCCAAACCUGUGUAGGCAGACUGCUGGGGACACCGAGUGAGCUCUUGAUUUCAGCAGCGUACCAUGCCAAACUAGCGGUCCUAUAUCAAGCACAAUGCACGAGCAGAGCCUUCACUACUUCAUGUCAAUGGCCUUCUAAAAGGUUACUUUCCUCUACAUAAAUGUGUCUUUUUAAAAACUUGUUUGUACCAAAGCAGCAGCCAGAAGCUACAAAUAGAAGGAAAAACCACACAACAAAUAUUUAGCCAUCUCAUAACCAUAGCCAAAAAAAAAAAAAAAAAAAAAAUCCAAAAGGAGCUAUAUUGGCCAUCCAUGUAAGACAGAAGCCUCUUAUUGCUAUAUCAUGACUGAGGAAAGCAACUACUCCUCAUGCCUUCCCUUCAGUAGCCACUAGUACAGUAUCCAGGCAAAUUAUUGUAGCUUGGGGGGAAAAAAAAAGAGGCAAAACUAUUGUUUGCAUUUCAAAUUACAUUACAGCACCACAUUUGUUUAUAAAAGAAUAGCCAGUAGAAGAGACAUUUAGCAUCCACAUAUUGAAAAAAUUUGUACAUAUUUCAUAAUAAAGCCACAUUUCCUAGGUCUCUGUACAUCUCUGACAGAAUAUGCAAGCAAGAUCAGGUAUGAUCUUUCCAUUAAAAAGAUGUUUUCUGCUGAAUUGUGAAAUAUCAGAACUUACUAAGGCACAUCUGGAUUCUCUCAAGAAGUUUGCAAACACUUUGCAUCACAUAGGUCUUUGUCAGGAGAUUUGUGUAAAAAUGAAAAAUCUAUGCAUUUGGUGAGAGUUCUAGUCGUCAUGUCUGUAAUAAUCCUGUGCAUUGAGACAUUUGCACUAAAUUUUGAAAUCAGUGGCUUUCUUCAUCUCCAGAUGAAGCUUUGGUCUGUAACCCACAAAGUGAAGUGCCGUUGUUGUGAAGUCUGAGGAAUUUAUACUAAGAAAGAGGGAGAGCUUCAGACAAACUAUAAGAACUCAAGUAAGGAUGAGCUGUUACAGUGAAAGAACAAACAGUAUUGACAUAGCCUUUUCAUUAAUAGAGGGGCAUAAACAGCACCAAAAGGAGAGGUAAGCCUGAAACAAACCUGAGUUCAAACUCCUCAGCGUACCUGGAGUGUUCAGACUCAGUUCAUGUGAGGAUUUAUCUCCUGAGCUCUCCAUCAAGCAUGCCUGCAAGGGCCUCACAGGGCAGGAGGCAUCUCCGAACCACACGCCAACCCUACCUGCCAUGCUGAGAUGGCUACAGACCCGUUGUGCAGUGCCUGCUCUUUAGUCGCAUUUAUGAGGUGCAACAUAAUUUUGAUGCAAUUUGCCCUAGAACACAAAACUGACAGGGUACAAUUUCCAGUAGAGAGAUGGCUAGUGAGAUACCUUACCUGCUUCAUCCUCAGCAAAUGAGAUGAUAAAUUUGCUAUAAGAACUUAUCAUUCCAGGGAAAGCACAAGCUUUUGUGUUACCAAUGCAGAUAUCUUGCUUCUUCCAUUUAUUUGUCUUCUCAUCUUCCUGUAAAGCCAUAAGUCGACUAGAUGAAAAAUAAAACCUUGUGUUUUAGGUUUCCAUUAUCAAAGGUGGAACCUGCCAAAAUUAUGCAUUACUGAAAUAAAAUGUCAGGACUGUGAA